rnacentral:rRNA from 1 species
AGUGAAUGCUGGCGGUAGACCUAACACAUGCAAGUCGAACGGCAGCACAGUAAGAGCUUGCUCUUACGGGUGGCGAGUGGCGGACGGGUGAGGAAUACAUCGGAAUCUACUUUUUCGUGGGGGAUAACGUAGGGAAACUUACGCUAAUACCGCAUACGACCUACGGGUGAAAGCAGGGGAUCUUCGGACCUUGCGCGAUUGAAUGAGCCGAUGUCGGAUUAGCUAGUUGGCGGGGUAAAGGCCCACCAAGGCGACGAUCCGUAGCUGGUCUGAGAGGAUGAUCAGCCACACUGGAACUGAGACACGGUCCAGACUCCUACGGGAGGCAGCAGUGGGGAAUAUUGGACAAUGGGCGCAAGCCUGAUCCAGCCAUACCGCGUGGGUGAAGAAGGCCUUCGGGUUGUAAAGCCCUUUUGUUGGGAAAGAAAAGCAGCAGGUUAAUACCCCGCUGUUCUGACGGUACCCAAAGAAUAAGCACCGGCUAACUUCGUG